rnacentral:tRNA from 1 species
UCCCUGGAGGACUAGUGGUUAGGCCUCGGUGCUCUCACCGCUGUGACUGGGGUUCAGUUCCCAGCCAGAGAA